UGUCAGCUGGGUUUGGAGGUCUGACUGACCUGGACAUCAAAGAUGGCUUCUGCAAGGAUGCCUCCAGUUCUCUGAUGCUCUUCCUGUGGCCUCGAGUGUUGGUUACCAAGACUCAAGUCAAUUCCCAGUCAAGUCAAGAGGGAUCAAAGCUAAUCUCUCAACAAAGAAAUAAGAGACUUACAACACCUUAAAUCUACCACAAAGCCCUUGAGAGAAAAGCUGCUACCCAGGGACGCAACUGUGUUUGAGAUGUCGUCUGGCUACCUGGUCCACUGGGAUCACAAAGCAGGCAUCUAAAACAGGAGACACUAUCAGUCACUCUUCUGCUGCUGUGACCAAAACACCAUGACAGAAGCAACUAGUAAAGAGUUAAUUUUAA